GAUGAACGCUGGCGGCGUGCCUAACACAUGCAAGUCGAACGGAGUUCUUAAGGAAUGCGGCUUCGGCCAAAUGACUUUUGAACUUAGUGGCGGACGGGUGAGUAACGCGUGAGCAACCUGCCUUUCAGAGGGGGAUAACAUUUGGAAACAGAUGCUAAUACCGCAUAAGAUUACAGUACCGCAUGAUACAGUGAUCAAAGGAGCAAUCCGCUGAAAGAUGGGCUCGCGUCCGAUUAGAUAGUUGGUGAGGUAAUGGCUCACCAAGUCGACGAUCGGUAGCCGGACUGAGAGGUUGAACGGCCACAUUGGGACUGAGACACGGCCCAGACUCCUACGGGAGGCAGCAGUGGGGAAUAUUGCACAAUGGGCGAAAGCCUGAUGCAGCAACGCCGCGUGAGGGAAGACGGUUUUCGGAUUGUAAACCUCUGUUUUCGGUGACGAAC
rnacentral:rRNA from 1 species